rnacentral:rRNA from 1 species
GACGAACGCUGGCGGCGUGCUUAACACAUGCAAGUCGAACGGAAAGGCCCCUUCGGGGGUACUCGAGUGGCGAACGGGUGAGUAACACGUGGGUGAUCUGCCCUGCACUUCGGGAUAAGCCUGGGAAACUGGGUCUAAUACCGGAUAGGACCACGGGAUGCAUGUCCUGUGGUGGAAAGCUUUUGCGGUGUGGGAUGGGCCCGCGGCCUAUCAGCUUGUUGGUGGGGUGACGGCCUACCAAGGCGACGACGGGUAGCCGGCCUGAGAGGGUGUCCGGCCACACUGGGACUGAGAUACGGCCCAGACUCCUACGGGAGGCAGCAGUGGGGAAUAUUGCACAAUGGGCGCAAGCCUGAUGCAGCGACGCCGCGUGGGGGAUGACGGCCUUCGGGUUGUAAACCUCUUUCAGCAGGGACGAAGCGCAAGUGACGGUACCUGCAGAAGAAGCACCGGCCAACUACGUGCCAGCAGCCGCGGUAAUACGUAGGGUGCGAGCGUUGUCCGGAAUUACUGGGCGUAAAGAGCUCGUAGGUGGUUUGUCGCGUUGUUCGUGAAAACCGGGGGCUUAACCCUCGGCGUGCGGGCGAUACGGGCAGACUGGAGUACUGCAGGGGAGACUGGAAUUCCUGGUGUAGCGGUGGAGUGCGCAGAUAUCAGGAGGAACACCGGUGGCGAAGGCGGGUCUCUGGGCAGUAACUGACGCUGAGGAGCGAAAGCGUGGGGAGCGAACAGGAUUAGAUACCCUGGUAGUCCACGCCGUAAACGGUGGGUACUAGGUGUGGGUUUCCUUCCUUGGGAUCCGUGCCGUAGCUAACGCAUUAAGUACCCCGCCUGGGGAGUACGGCCGCAAGGCUAAAACUCAAAGGAAUUGACGGGGGCCCGCACAAGCGGCGGAGCAUGUGGAUUAAUUCGAUGCAACGCGAAGAACCUUACCUGGGUUUGACAUGCACAGGACGCCGGCAGAGAUGUCGGUUCCCUUGUGGCCUGUGUGCAGGUGGUGCAUGGCUGUCGUCAGCUCGUGUCGUGAGAUGUUGGGUUAAGUCCCGCAACGAGCGCAACCCUUGUCUCAUGUUGCCAGCGGGUAAUGCCGGGGACUCGUGAGAGACUGCCGGGGUCAACUCGGAGGAAGGUGGGGAUGACGUCAAGUCAUCAUGCCCCUUAUGUCCAGGGCUUCACACAUGCUACAAUGGCCGGUACAAAGGGCUGCGAUGCCGCGAGGCUUAGCGAAUCCUUUUAAAGCCGGUCUCAGUUCGGAUCGGGGUCUGCAACUCGACCCCGUGAAGUCGGAGUCGCUAGUAAUCGCAGAUCAGCAACGCUGCGGUGAAUACGUUCCCGGGCCU